GGAGUUGUGGCUCAGUGGUAGAGUGCUCACCUAGCACAUGUGAGGCACUGGGUUCUAUUCUCAGCACCA
rnacentral:tRNA from 2 species